rnacentral:rRNA from 1 species
AUGCACUGGGUUGACUGGGAUACACUCGCAUCGGCUAAAGUUGGGGGAGGCAUGGGCUUUCGCAACCUUGAGAUCUUCAAUUUGGCCAUGCUAGGCAAACAUGGCUGGAGAUUGACAACAAGUCCGGGCUCUCUCUGUGCCCGCGUGUUGAAAGGGAGGUACUUCCCGUCCUCUGAUUUUAUGCAGGCUACUGUACCGAUGGGUGCAUCAGCCACCUGGCGGGCCAUCAUUACAGGGAGAGAAGCGCUGAAUGUGGGUAUGAUUCGGCGAAUCGGAGACGGAACUUCCGUCUCGAUUUGGGUUGAUAGUUGGGUUACGAAAACAGCAGCAAACACGAUAGAAGAAGCAAUGACUAAUGAGGUAAAGUUACGUAAGGUGAUUCUGCGGAAAUAUAAAGUAGCUCCAUGA